AUUGAACGCUGGCGGCAUGCUUUACACAUGCAAGUCGAACGGUAACAGGGUGCUUGCACCGCUGACGAGUGGCGAACGGGUGAGUAAUGCGUCGGAACGUGCCGAGUAGUGGGGGAUAACGCAGCGAAAGUUGUGCUAAUACAGCAUACGUACUGAGGUAGAAAGUGGGGGACCUUCGGGCCUCACGCUAUUCGAGCGGCCGACGUCUGAUUAGUUAGUAGGUGAGGUAAAGGCUCACCUAGGCGACGAUCAGUAGCGGCUCUGAGAGGAUGAUCCGCCACACUGGGACUGAGACACGGCCCAGACUCCUACGGGAGGCUGCAGUGGGGAAUUUUGGACAAUGGGCGAAAGCCUGAUCCAGCCAUGCCGCGUGUCUGAGGAAGGCCUUCGGGUUGUAAAGGACUUUUGUCAGGGAGGAAAUCCCUAGUGCUAAUAACACUGGGGGAUGACAGUACCUGAAGAAUAAGCACCGGCUAACUACGUGCCAGCCGCCGCUGUAA
rnacentral:rRNA from 1 species